AGCGAACGCUGGCGGCAGGCUUAACACAUGCAAGUCGAGCGGGCACUUCGGUGUCAGCGGCAGACGGGUGAGUAACACGUGGGAACGUACCCUUCGGUUCGGAAUAACGCUGGGAAACUAGCGCUAAUACCGGAUACGCCCUUUUGGGGAAAGGUUUACUGCCGAAGGAUCGGCCCGCGUCUGAUUAGCUAGUUGGUGGGGUAACGGCCUACCAAGGCGACGAUCAGUAGCUGGUCUGAGAGGAUGAUCAGCCACACUGGGACUGAGACACGGCCCAGACUCCUACGGGAGGCAGCAGUGGGGAAUAUUGGACAAUGGGCGCAAGCCUGAUCCAGCCAUGCCGCGUGAGUGAUGAAGGCCUUAGGGUUGUAAAGCUCUUUUGUCCGGGACGAUAAUGACGGUACCGGAAGAAUAAGCCCCGGCUAACUUCGUGCCAGCCGCCGCCGUAAAAC
rnacentral:rRNA from 1 species